AUGUCUGACAGCAGUUUGAAGAGGAAAUGGAUUCUGUUCUGUUCUUCACUCAUCACCUACCUGACAGCUGACACCUCACACCUGUUUCUCACCUGCAGGUCAGUCAGGAGGACAAAGUGGAGGGAAGGAGGAUGAAGGAGAGAAGAGUGGAUCUGUUGGACUGAUAGUUGGUCUGUCAGUUCUUGCUGUGCUUGUUGUUGGUGUUGGUGCUGUUUUUAUCUACAGAACAUAUACACGUACACCAAAUCCAGAUUACCGGCCCCUGUGGAUCAGGGGCUUUGAAAUUCCAUCAGUGGCUUCCAAACUGAACCGUGUUGGUGUUUUGAUCAACAUAAGAUAUAAAGAACAACGUUAGGACUCACAUGGUCCUUGCACUGAACCACAGAGACAAAUGUUUGAGAAUUUGAGAAUUCUGUGGCUGAAUUGUGAAUCUCCUGCUGAUGAAGAUGGAGACAAAAAUGAUAUGAAAACAGACAGCUGUCACCAACACGCCGCAAGGAUCCCUGAUGUCACUUUGACACUUGA